GUAGGUGGUCGGUAAAGCGAAUAGUGAAAUCUGGUGGCUCAACCAUACAGGCUAUUAUUCGAACUCACCGACUCGAGAGUGGUAGGGGUAGCUGGAAUUUCUCAAGUAGGGGUAAUAUCCGUAGAUAUGAGAAGGAACACCAAUGGCGUAGGCAGGCUACUGGACCAUUUCUGACACUGAGGCACGAAAGCGUGGGGAGCGAACCGGAUUAGAUACCCGGGUAGUCCACGCCGUAAACGAUGGAUACUAGCUGUAGGGGGUAUCGACCCCCUCUGUAGCGAAGCUAACGCGUUAAGUAUCCCGCCUGUGGAGUACGGUCGCAAGACUAAGACAUAAAGGAAUUGACGGGGACCCGCACAAGCGGUGGAUCGUGUUCUUUAAUUCGAUGCUAAACGGAGAACCUUACCAGGGCUUGACAUCCUUGGAAUCAUUACGAAAGUAGUGAGUGCCUUUGGAACCAAGUGACGGGUGUUGCAUGGCCGUCGUCAGCUCGUGUCGUGAGAUGUUUGGUUAAGUCCAUUAACGAGCGCAACCCUUAUAUCUAGUUGUAUUUUUCUAGAUAGACUGCCCCGGCAACGGGGAGGAAGGAGGGGAUGAUGUCAGGUCAGUAUUACCCUUACGUCCUGGGCUAGAAACACGAUACAAUGGCUAGUACAAUGCGCAGCGAAGCCGCGAGGUGGAGCAAAUCGCAUCAAAGCUAGUCCCAGUUCGGAUUGGAGGCUGAAACUCGCCUCCAUGAAGUCGGAAUCGCUAGUAAUCGCAAAUCAGCAAGUUGCGGUGAAUACGUUCCCGGGUCUUGUACACACCGCCCGUCAAACCAUGAAAGUGACCAACACCCGAAGUCCGAUUCGUCGGCCUAAGGUGGGGGGGCAUGAUUGGGGUU
rnacentral:rRNA from 1 species